UACGGAGGGUGCAAGCGUUAAUCGGAAUUACUGGGCGUAAAGCGCGCGAGGCGGCUUGUUAAGCCAGAUGUGAAAGCCCCCGGGCUUAACCUGGGAACUGCAUUUGGAACUGGCAGGCUAGAGACAGAAGAGGGUGGUAGAAUUUCCUGUGUAGCGGUGAAAUGCGUAGAUAUAGGAAGGAAUACCAGUGCGAAGGCGGCCACCUGGUCUGAUACUGACGCUGAGGUGCGAAAGCGUGGGGAGCAAACAGGAUUAAUACCCGGAGUAGUC
rnacentral:rRNA from 1 species